UACAGAGGGUGCGAGCGUUAAUCGGAAUUACUGGGCGUAAAGCGCGCGUAGGCGGCUUUGCAAGUCGAGUGUGAAAUCCCCAGGCUUAACCGGGGAACUGCGUCUGAUACUGGAUGGCUGGAGUAUGGGAGAGGAAUGCGGAAUUCCAGGUGUAGCGGUGAAAUGCGUAGAUAUCAGGAGGAACACCGGUGGCGAAGGCGGGUCUCUGGGCCGAUACUGACGCUGAGGAGCGAAAAGCGUGGGGAGCGAACAGG
rnacentral:rRNA from 1 species